AACGAACGCUGGCGGCAGGCUUAACACAUGCAAGUCGAGCGAGACCUUCGGGUCUAGCGGCGGACGGGUGAGUAACGCGUGGGAACGUGCCCUUCUCUACGGAAUAGCCCCGGGAAACUGGGAGUAAUACCGUAUACGCCCUUUGGGGGAAAGAUUUAUCGGAGAAGGAUCGGCCCGCGUUGGAUUAGGUAGUUGGUGGGGUAAUGGCCCACCAAGCCGACGAUCCAUAGCUGGUUUGAGAGGAUGAUCAGCCACACUGGGACUGAGACACGGCCCAGACUCCUACGGGAGGCAGCAGUGGGGAAUCUUAGACAAUGGGGGCAACCCUGAUCUAGCCAUGCCGCGUGAGUGAUGAAGGCCUUAGGGUUGUAAAGCUCUUUCAGCUGGGAAUAUCGUGAAGGUACCUGCAGAAGAAGCUCCGGCUAACUACGUGCCAGCCGCCGCAGUAA
rnacentral:rRNA from 1 species